UGUUCUGUUUCAUACAGUAAACAGUGUGACGGUCGGUUCAGGUCGAUUAUAGAUGCAAACAGAGAGCUCAAACAACUUCAGAAACAGUCGGGAGAGAGGAAACACUAUAUGUUAAAGGUUAUGUUAUGUUAUGUUAUGUUAAAGGUUAUGCUUUGUUAUGUUAUGUUAAAGGUUAUGUUA